rnacentral:rRNA from 1 species
AUUGAACGCUGGCGGCAUGCUCUACACAUGCAAGUCGAACGGUAACAGGCCGCAAGUUGCUGACGAGUGGCGAACGGGUGCGUAAUGCAUCGGAACGUGCCCAGUCGUGGUGGAUAACUACUCGCAAGAGUAGCUAAUACCUCAUACGAUCUAUGGAUGAAAGCGGGGGACCGUAAUGCCUCGCGCGAUUGGAGCGGCCGCUGUCAGAUUAGGUAGUUGGUGGGGUAAAGGCUCACCAAGCCAACGAUCUGUAGCUGGUCUGAGAGGACGACCAGCCACACUGGGACUGAGACACGGCCCAGACUCCUACGGGAGGCAGCAGUGGGGAAUUUUGGACAAUGGGCGCAAGCCUGAUCCAGCAAUGCCGCGUGCAGGAAGAAGGCCUUCGGGUUGUAAAAUGCUUUUGUACGGAACGAAACGGCUCUGGUUAAUACCCGGGGCUAAUGACGGUACCGUAAGAAUAAGCACCGGCUAACUACGUG